rnacentral:tRNA from 1 species
AUUAGAGUAGCUUAAUAAAGAGCGUGACAUUGAAGCUGUCAAGGUAAUCACUAGAUUCUUUAAUG